rnacentral:rRNA from 1 species
GACGAACGCUGGCGGCGUGCCUAAUACAUGCAAGUCGAGCGCAGGAAGCCGUCUGAACCCUUCGGGGGGACGACGGUGGAAUGAGCGGCGGACGGGUGAGUAACACGUAAAGAACCUGCCCAUAGGUCUGGGAUAACCACGAGAAAUCGGGGCUAAUACCGGAUGUGUCAUCGGACCGAAUGGUCCGCUGAUGAAAGGCGCUCCGGCGUCGCCCAGGGGUGGCUUUGCGGUGCAUUAGCUAGUUGGUGGGGUAACGGCCCACCAAGGCGACGGUGCAUAGCCGACCUGAGGGGGUGAUCGGCCACACUGGGACUGAGACACGGCCCAGGCUCCUACGGGAGGCAGCAGUAGGGAAUCUUCCACAAUGGACGAAAGUCUGAUGGAGCAACGCCGCGUGAACGAUGAAGGCUUUCGGGUCGUAAAGUUCUGCUGUAAGGGAAGAACAAGUGCCGCAGGCAAUGGCGGCACCUUGACGGUACCUUGCGAGAAAGCCACGGCUAACUACGUGCCAGCAGCCGCAGUAA